rnacentral:rRNA from 1 species
CAAGUGAUGUGGAGUAAAACUUAUAAAAGCGACCUCAGUUCGGAUUGAAGGCUGAAAUUCGCCUUCAUGAAGUCGGAAUUGCUAGUAAUGGCAGGUCAGCAUACUGCCGUGAAUACGUUCCCGGGCCUUGUACACACCGCCCGUCACACCAUGAGAGUUGGAGAUACCCGAAGCCUAUGAGCUAACUUUUAGAGGCAGUAGUCGAAGGUAGAAUCAAUGAUUGGGGUGAAGUCGUAACAAGGUAUC